UACGUAGGGGGCAAGCGUUAUCCGGAUUUACUGGGUGUAAAGGGAGCGUAGACGGUCAAGCAAGUCUGGAGUGAAAUGCGGGGGCUCAACCCCCGGACUGCUUUGGAAACUGUCUGACUAGAGUGCAGGAGGGGUAAGCGGAAUUCCUGGUGUAGCGGUGAAAUGCGUAGAUAUCAGGAGGAACACCGGCGGCGAAGGCGGCUUACUGGACUGUAACUGACGUUGAGGCUCGAGAGCGUGGGGAGCAAAC
rnacentral:rRNA from 1 species